CAUACGAAUAUAAAAUUUUUGAAAGGUUUUUUUUUGUUUUUUAAGAUUUCAUUUAGCUCCUUCCUGAGAUAACUGAUGAGGGGUUACUACCCGUUCAGAGAAGUCAAAGAAGGGAUGCCAUUUACAGACGCGACUUGUUUUCUACUGCUACCAGUCAUCGACAGUUAGAGAGUUGAAAAAUAGGAUCAGAAUCACGUGACACAGACGGGUGUGCCGAAGUUCUCCUCUGAAGCAGAUUUUCCUGCAGCUUUUUUCUUUUUCUGGGAGAUUCGGCCAACUCCGAGUACGAACUUAAGGGCCCAACUCGCAAGGUGCAGACAGGGAGUCGCCCUUAUGAGGACUCGUAUGGACGAUGAGUCCCCCUUACGACGAAUCUCCAAAUGGAGAUUUCUGUUAUAAAUGUAAAUUGCCUCAACAAAAGGAUAUCUUCUCUGCUUUUAGAGCUUCUGGGUCUGCUUUUUCUCAAAAAAAAAAAAAAAUCAUUUUACUUUGGGAUGGAUUAUUCUGCUAUCCUUCAACCGUGGUUUUCUUACAGCCCUAAAUUCCGUUUCUGGUGAUAAGGAUGCCUUCCGCGCUUCUGGUACAGGGAUGGCACCUGUCACAUGGGGAACUUGUCUCCUGUUUCCAGGGAGAGAGGCAGAUCCAGAGAGACCUUUGUGUACUACCUGGUCCUCAGGCCGUGUCGAAUCUAUCAGUAAACAGUAUCAGCUCUCUUCAAAGUAUCCUGUUAAAAUGGAAAAACAAUCUCACCCAGUCAGUCAGGAAUUUUCUGGAGAGCACCGGUGAGGUCAUCUCCAUCACCAGCCUGCAAAGCAAAAGGAGGUAAUUUGUAAAGGACAAAGUAAAAGGACAGGACCCUCUGCCUUGCCCCCUAAGAGAAAGUGACCUUGCCAGAAACGAUCUUUUCUUUUGUCAAUAACUUACUUGCCCCACCCCUCCUUCCUGUAAAAGCCUCCCAUUUUGUCCACCUCCUCAGAGCCCCCUCUACUUGCUGGUAACAUGCUGUCCAAUUUAUGAAUCACUUAAUAUAAGAGCCAAUUACAUUGUUUGAAAAACCACCACCAC